GUUUGAUCCUGGCUCAGAACGAACGCUGGCGGCGUGGAUAAGACAUGCAAGUCGAACGAGAGAAUUGCUAGCUUGCUAAUAAUUCUCUAGUGGCGCACGGGUGAGUAACACGUGAGUAACCUGCCCCCGAGAGCGGGAUAGCCCUGGGAAACUGGGAUUAAUACCGCAUAGUAUCGAAAGAUUAAAGCAGCAAUGCGCUUGGGGAUGGGCUCGCGGCCUAUUAGUUAGUUGGUGAGGUAACGGCUCACCAAGGCGAUGACGGGUAGCCGGUCUGAGAGGAUGUCCGGCCACACUGGAACUGAGACACGGUCCAGACACCUACGGGUGGCAGCAGUCGAGAAUCAUUCACAAUGGGGGAAACCCUGAUGGUGCGACGCCGCGUGGGGGAAUGAAGGUCUUCGGAUUGUAAACCCCUGUCAUGUGGGAGCAAAUUAAAAAGAUAGUACCACAAGAGGAAGAGACGGCUAACUCUGUGCCAGCAGCCGCGGUAAUACAGAGGUCUCAAGCGUUGUUCGGAAUCACUGGGCGUAAAGCGUGCGUAGGCUGUUUCGUAAGUCGUGUGUGAAAGGCGCGGGCUCAACCCGCGGACGGCACAUGAUACUGCGAGACUAGAGUAAUGGAGGGGGAACCGGAAUUCUCGGUGUAGCAGUGAAAUGCGUAGAUAUCGAGAGGAACACUCGUGGCGAAGGCGGGUUCCUGGACAUUAACUGACGCUGAGGCACGAAGGCCAGGGGAGCGAAAGGGAUUAGAUACCCCUGUAGUCCUGGCAGUAAACGGUGCACGCUUGGUGUGCGGGGAAUCGACCCCCUGCGUGCCGGAGCUAACGCGUUAAGCGUGCCGCCUGGGGAGUACGGUCGCAAGAUUAAAACUCAAAGAAAUUGACGGGGACCCGCACAAGCGGUGGAGUAUGUGGCUUAAUUCGAUGCAACGCGAAGAACCUUACCUGGGCUUGACAUGUAAUGAACAACAUGUGAAAGCAUGCGACUCUUCGGAGGCGUUACACAAGUGCUGCAUGGCCGUCGUCAGCUCGUGUCGUGAGAUGUUUGGUUAAGUCCAGCAACGAGCGCAACCCCUGUUGCCAGUUACCAGCACGUGAAGGUGGGGACUCUGGCGAGACUGCCCAGAUCAACUGGGAGGAAGGUGGGGACGACGUCAGGUCAGUAUGGCCCUUAUGCCCAGGGCUGCACACGUACUACAAUGCCCAGUACAGAGGGGGCCGAAGCCGCGAGGCGGAGGAAAUCCUAAAAACUGGGCCCAGUUCGGACUGUAGGCUGCAACCCGCCUACACGAAGCCGGAAUCGCUAGUAAUGGCGCAUCAGCUACGGCGCCGUGAAUACGUUCCCGGGUCUUGUACACACCGCCCGUCACAUCAUGGAAGCCGGUCGCACCCGAAGUAUCUGAAGCCAACCGCAAGGAGGCAGGGUCCUAAGGUGAGACUGGUAACUGGGAUGAAGUCGUAACAAGGUAGCCG
rnacentral:rRNA from 1 species